rnacentral:tRNA from 1 species
CCCUGGGUGGCACAAAUGGUUGAGUGCUUGGCUGCUAACUAAAAGGUUGGUGGUUUGAACCCACCCAGAGGUU